rnacentral:rRNA from 1 species
UACAGAGGGGGCAAGCGUUGUUCGGAAUUACUGGGCGUAAAGGGCGCGUAGGCGGCCCGCUAAGUCGAACGUGAAAUCCCCGAGCUCAACUCGGGAACUGCGUCCGAUACUGGCGGGCUUGAAUCCGGGAGAGGGAUGCGGAAUUCCAGGUGUAGCGGUGAAAUGCGUAGAUAUCUGGAGGAACACCGGUGGCGAAGGCGGCAUCCUGGACCGGCAUUGACGCUGAGGCGCGAAAGCUAGGGGAGCAAAGCGGGG